UUUGAGUAAUUAAAUUUUUUACUUAUGUUGAAAUAGUUAAUUUUAUGGUUAAUUUAAAUCUAUAAUAAUUUUUGAUUGUUCAGUAAUAAAAUUAAUUGAAUUAUUUAUUUUAUAUAAAUUUAAUGUAAAUGAAUAUUUUUAUAAUUAUUUAAGUUUAAUUUUUUUUUAGUACCUUUUGUAUCAGGGUUUAUUAAAUUGAUUAUAUUAUUUUUAAUUGUCUCGAAAAUGUACGAGCUACGAGAUUAUGUAAGUUAAUGUUUUAUUAUUAUUUAUAAUUUUUUUGUGGUAGAGAUAUUCUAUUAGUGUACAUUGAUAUCUAGUUUUUACCGAUACUAAUUUAAUUAGAGAUUUUGAUGUGAGUAAUAGUUUUUUCUUUAUACUAUUAAAAAUAAUAUCUUUUUCUUACAUAUUGAGGGAUUACCUUCAGCAUUUAUUAAAAAUUUUUUUUAUUUUAAUGUAAAAUUAUAGAUAAUAUUUUUAAUAUUUAGUAAAAAUUUAAUAAUUUAUUAAUAUUUAUUUAAUUGUUUUUUAUUAAUUGUAAUUUAAUUUUAUUUUUAAUUUUUUAGGUAAAUUAAUUAUUUAAUUAAAAUUUAAUUGAAAUAAUGAUAUAAUAAGUAUAAUAAUAUUUUUGUUAUGUUUUAUAAAAUUUUAUUUGUUUAUAUAAUAGAUUUAUGAACUAGGCAAAUUUAGGUCCAACUGUUUAUCAAAGACAUAUCCUUUAGAAUUAUAAUUUAAGGUGUUCCCUGCUCAAUGAUAUUUUUAAAUAGCCGCAGUAAUAUGACUGUGCUAAGGUAGCAUAAUAAUUUGCCUCUUAAUUAGAGGCUUGAAUGAAUGGGUUAAUGAGACCUUAACUUUAUUAAUUUAUUUUAUUAGAAUUUAAUAUUUAAGUUAAAAUUCUUAAAUUGAUCCAGGGGACGAGAAGACCCUAUAGAAUUUAAUAAUAUUAAUUUAUUUAUUAUAAUUAUUUUAUUUAAAAUAAAUUAUAUUAUUUAAUUGGGAGGAUUUCUAAAUUAAUUAAACUUUAGAUUUAUAAAUAACAAUUGAUUAUUGGAUUUAUGAUUAUGUUUUAUAUAUAUGAGAAUUAAUUACCUUAGGGAUAACAGCGUAAUACUUUUGGUUAGUUCAUAUAUAUAUAAGUGGUUGCGACCUCGAUGUUGAAUUAAGAUUGAGUUAUAAGUAGAAUUAUAAUUUUAAAGUCUGUUCGACUUUUUUAUCUUACAUGAUUUGAGUUCAGAUCGGCGUGAGCCAGAUCGGUUUCUAUCCUUGGAAGUAUUUUAAACAGUUUUUGUACGAGAGGACUUAAUUGUUUUAAUUUAUUAAACUUU
rnacentral:rRNA from 1 species